rnacentral:rRNA from 1 species
GGCCUAAAGCGUCCGUAGCCGGCUCGGUAAGUCUCUCGUGAAAUCCAGCGNCCUAACCGUAGGGCUGCCAGGGAUACUGCNNAGCUAGAAGGUGGGAAAGGUUAGCGGUAUUUCCGGGGUAAGGGCUAAAUCCUUUGAUCCCNGGAGGACCACCCGUUGCCAAGGCUGCUGACUAUAACACGCCUUACGGUUAGGGACGAAAACUGGGGUAACCAAUCGGAUUAGAUAUCCGGGUAGUCCCAGCCGUAAACGAUUCUGGCUAGGUGUUGGGUCGGCCAC